GGCCUGAUAUUCGGCCUUGGCCGCUUCUAACGAAGUGUGUGGUGUGGGGGUCUGCUUUCACUCGGCGUCCAGUGUGCUUUGGGGGCGCCCGCCGCGUGGGUUCAGUGAGAUAAGGCCACCGUCAAGGCAGCCAAAGCCUUCCAGCUAAGGCAGCACCCUUCCAGAUAUGGAGAGUGGUGAGGAUCAGACGACAGGAGACAUUUCUCCCGAUGCUCCAGAAGAAAAUCUCGCAGAAAGUCUGGGCCGCCGAGACAUGGGACAGCGCCCUCGCUCUACCAUGGCGCA